rnacentral:lncRNA from 1 species
AAAAUUGAAAAUGAAUUAUAUUGUCACCACAAGUUUUAAUCGAAAAAACAAAAAAAAACAAAACAUCAAAUACAACUUGAAUUUAAUUGUUGUUCAAAUAUGGCAAAUCAUUCUAUUGUGAUGACCAAGAUUAAAAACAUUGCCACAAGUAUGGUUUUCCCCCAUUUCUUUCAACCAAAUACGACCACCUUCUUUACUAUACGACUUCGCAUAGAUCAUCCACUUAACAACAUCAUAUGAAACAACACCAUCAAUAGGAACAUCAUUUGAAAUAACACCUUCACAUGAUUCCAUAU